AACGAACGCUGGCGGCAGGCUUAACACAUGCAAGUCGAGCGCCCCGCAAGGGGAGCGGCAGACGGGUGAGUAACACGUGGGAAUCUACCCGUCCCUACGGAACAACUCCGGGAAACUGGAGCUAAUACCGUAUACGCCCUUCGGGGGAAAGAUUUAUCGGGGAUAGAUGAGCCCGCGUUGGAUUAGCUAGUUGGUGGGGUAAAGGCCUACCAAGGCGACGAUCCAUAGCUGGUCUGAGAGGAUGAUCAGCCACAUUGGGACUGAGACACGGCCCAAACUCCUACGGGAGGCAGCAGUGGGGAAUAUUGGACAAUGGGCGCAAGCCUGAUCCAGCCAUGCCGCGUGAAUGAUGAAGGCCUUAGGGUUGUAAAGUUCUUUCGCCGAUGAAGAUAAUGACGGUAGUCGGAGAAGAAGCCCCGGCUAACUUCGUGCCAGCAGCCGCGGUAA
rnacentral:rRNA from 1 species